rnacentral:rRNA from 1 species
AGGACGAACGCUGGCGGCGUGCUUAACACAUGCAAGUCGAGCGGAAAGGCCCUUCGGGGUACUCGAGCGGCGAACGGGUGAGUAACACGUGAGUAAUCUGCCCCUAGCUCUGGGAUAGCUCCGGGAAACCGGGAUUAAUACCAGAUACGACCACUUUAGACAUCUUCUGUGGUGGAAAGAACUUCGGCUAGGGAUGAACUCGCGGCCUAUCAGCUUGUUGGUGAGGUAACGGCUCACCAAGGCGACGACGGGUAGCCGGCCUGAGAGGGCGACCGGCCACACUGGGACUGAGACACGGCCCAGACUCCUACGGGAGGCAGCAGUGGGGAAUAUUGCGCAAUGGGCGAAAGCCUGACGCAGCGACGCCGCGUGGGGGAUGAAGGCCUUCGGUUGUAACCCCUUUCAGCAGGGACGAAGCGAAAGUGACGGUACCUGCAGAAGAGCGCCGGCUAACUACGUGCCAGCAGCCGC